AUAUUAGUGCCAAUGUUUUCAUGAAUGGGGAGUAAGACUUGGUGGUAUAAUAUUUCUAAUAUACAAAUACUAUGAAGAAGAUGUUUACAGCAAAGACCCCGAAAAUGGAGCCAUUGACGAAGACCAGGAGAUGAAAAUUAAAGGGAAGUAUAUUUUAUUUUAAUCUUAUAAAUAUGAUCUAAUUAUAAUGUUAGUUUUUAUUACAGUAGCAGGCCUUACCAAGUUUCAGUCAAAGAACAUGAAGAUUAGAGAUGAGUAGCAUAUACUAUGAAGAAGAUGUUUACAGCAUAGACCCUGAAAAUAGAGCCAUUGGUGAAGACCAGGACAAGAUGCUUAAAGUAGCAGGCCUUACCAAGUUUCAGUCGCAGAAGAUGAAGAUUAUUUCAUUGAAAAUUGGAGAUAAAUAACAUCUCCAAGGAAGAUUAAUUAUUACAUUAAUCUUCACCCAAGUCUGAGGCCAUGACAUGAAAGAAAUAA